rnacentral:tRNA from 1 species
GGGGCCUUAGCUCAGCCUGAUAGAGCACCUGAUUUGCACUCAGGGGGUCGAGGGUUUGAUUCCCUUAGGCUCCACCA